GGGUUGUGAGGUUAAGCGACUAAGCGUACACGGUGGAUGCCCUGGCAGUCAGAGGCGAUGAAGGACGUGCUAAUCUGCGAUAAGCGUCGGUAAGGUGAUAUGAACCGUUAUAACCGGCGAUUUCCGAAUGGGGAAACCCAGUGUGAUUCGUCACACUAUCAUUAACUGAAUCCAUAGGUUAAUGAGGCGAACCGGGGGAACUGAAACAUCUAAGUACCCCGAGGAAAAGAAAUCAACCGAGAUUCCCCCAGUAGCGGCGAGCGAACGGGGAGCAGCCCAGAGCCUGAAUCAGUGUGUGUGUUAGUGGAAGCGUCUGGAAAGGCGCGCGAUACAGGGUGACAGCCCCGUACACAAAAAUGCACAUACUGUGAGCUCGAUGAGUAGGGCGGGACACGUGGUAUCCUGUCUGAAUAUGGGGGGACCAUCCUCCAAGGCUAAAUACUCCUGACUGACCGAUAGUGAACCAGUACCGUGAGGGAAAGGCGAAAAGAACCCCGGCGAGGGGAGUGAAAAAGAACCUGAAACCGUGUACGUACAAGCAGUGGGAGCCUCUUAAUGGGGUGACUGCGUACCUUUUGUAUAAUGGGUCAGCGACUUAUAUUCUGUAGCAAGGUUAACCGAAUAGGGGAGCCGAAGGGAAACCGAGUCUUAACUGGGCGUUAAGUUGCAGGGUAUAGACCCGAAACCCGGUGAUCUAGCCAUGGGCAGGUUGAAGGUUGGGUAACACUAACUGGAGGACCGAACCGACUAAUGUUGAAAAAUUAGCGGAUGACUUGUGGCUGGGGGUGAAAGGCCAAUCAAACCGGGAGAUAGCUGGUUCUCCCCGAAAGCUAUUUAGGUAGCGCCUCGUGAAUUCAUCUCCGGGGGUAGAGCACUGUUUCGGCAAGGGGGUCAUCCCGACUUACCAACCCGAUGCAAACUGCGAAUACCGGAGAAUGUUAUCACGGGAGACACACGGCGGGUGCUAACGUCCGUCGUGAAGAGGGAAACAACCCAGACCGCCAGCUAAGGUCCCAAAGUCAUGGUUAAGUGGGAAACGAUGUGGGAAGGCCCAGACAGCCAGGAUGUUGGCUUAGAAGCAGCCAUCAUUUAAAGAAAGCGUAAUAGCUCACUGGUCGAGUCGGCCUGCGCGGAAGAUGUAACGGGGCUAAACCAUGCACCGAAGCUGCGGCAGCGACGCUUAUGCGUUGUUGGGUAGGGGAGCGUUCUGUAAGCCUGCGAAGGUGUGCUGUGAGGCAUGCUGGAGGUAUCAGAAGUGCGAAUGCUGACAUAAGUAACGAUAAAGCGGGUGAAAAGCCCGCUCGCCGGAAGACCAAGGGUUCCUGUCCAACGUUAAUCGGGGCAGGGUGAGUCGACCCCUAAGGCGAGGCCGAAAGGCGUAGUCGAUGGGAAACAGGUUAAUAUUCCUGUACUUGGUGUUACUGCGAAGGGGGGACGGAGAAGGCUAUGUUGGCCGGGCGACGGUUGUCCCGGUUUAAGCGUGUAGGCUGGUUUUCCAGGCAAAUCCGGAAAAUCAAGGCUGAGGCGUGAUGACGAGGCACUACGGUGCUGAAGCAACAAAUGCCCUGCUUCCAGGAAAAGCCUCUAAGCAUCAGGUAACAUCAAAUCGUACCCCAAACCGACACAGGUGGUCAGGUAGAGAAUACCAAGGCGCUUGAGAGAACUCGGGUGAAGGAACUAGGCAAAAUGGUGCCGUAACUUCGGGAGAAGGCACGCUGAUAUGUAGGUGAAGUCCCUUGCGGAUGGAGCUGAAAUCAGUCGAAGAUACCAGCUGGCUGCAACUGUUUAUUAAAAACACAGCACUGUGCAAACACGAAAGUGGACGUAUACGGUGUGACGCCUGCCCGGUGCCGGAAGGUUAAUUGAUGGGGUUAGCGGUAACGCGAAGCUCUUGAUCGAAGCCCCGGUAAACGGCGGCCGUAACUAUAACGGUCCUAAGGUAGCGAAAUUCCUUGUCGGGUAAGUUCCGACCUGCACGAAUGGCGUAAUGAUGGCCAGGCUGUCUCCACCCGAGACUCAGUGAAAUUGAACUCGCUGUGAAGAUGCAGUGUACCCGCGGCAAGACGGAAAGACCCCGUGAACCUUUACUAUAGCUUGACACUGAACAUUGAGCCUUGAUGUGUAGGAUAGGUGGGAGGCUUUGAAGUGUGGACGCCAGUCUGCAUGGAGCCGACCUUGAAAUACCACCCUUUAAUGUUUGAUGUUCUAACGUUGGCCCCUAAUCGGGGUUGCGGACAGUGUCUGGUGGGUAGUUUGACUGGGGCGGUCUCCUCCUAAAGAGUAACGGAGGAGCACGAAGGUUGGCUAAUCCUGGUCGGACAUCAGGAGGUUAGUGCAAUGGCAUAAGCCAGCUUGACUGCGAGCGUGACGGCGCGAGCAGGUGCGAAAGCAGGUCAUAGUGAUCCGGUGGUUCUGAAUGGAAGGGCCAUCGCUCAACGGAUAAAAGGUACUCCGGGGAUAACAGGCUGAUACCGCCCAAGAGUUCAUAUCGACGGCGGUGUUUGGCACCUCGAUGUCGGCUCAUCACAUCCUGGGGCUGAAGUAGGUCCCAAGGGUAUGGCUGUUCGCCAUUUAAAGUGGUACGCGAGCUGGGUUUAGAACGUCGUGAGACAGUUCGGUCCCUAUCUGCCGUGGGCGCUGGAGAACUGAGGGGGGCUGCUCCUAGUACGAGAGGACCGGAGUGGACGCAUCACUGGUGUUCGGGUUGUCAUGCCAAUGGCACUGCCCGGUAGCUAAAUGCGGAAGAGAUAAGUGCUGAAAGCAUCUAAGCACGAAACUUGCCCCGAGAUGAGUUCUCCCUGACUCCCUGAGAGUCCUGAAGGAACGUUGAAGACGACGACGUUGAUAGGCCGGGUGUGUAAGCGCAGCGAUGCGUUGAGCUAACCGGUACUAAUGAACCGUGAGGCUUAACCUUACAACGCCGAAGCUGUU
rnacentral:rRNA from 1 species